CUACGGGGCGCUCCAGUGGGGAAUUUUGCGCAAUGGGGGCAACCCUGACGCAGCAAUACCGCGUGAGUGAAGAAGGCCUUUGGGUCGUAAAGCUCUUUUCUAAGGGAAGAUAGUGACGGUACCUUAGGAAUAAGCACCGGCUAACUCCGUGCCAGCAGCCGCGGUAAUACGGAGGGUGCGAGCGUUGUUCGGAUUUACUGGGCGUAAAGGGCACGUAGGCGGCCUAGCAAGUUAAGGGUGAAAUCCCGGGGCUCAACUCCGGAACUGCUCUUAAAACUGCUAAGCUAGAGAUAGUCAGAGGCGGGUGGAAUUCCAGGUGUAGAGGUGAAAUUCGUAGAUAUCUGGAGGAACACCGGUGGCGAAGGCGGCCCGCUGGGGCUAUUCUGACGCUGAGGUGCGAAAGCGUGGGGAGCGAACGGGAUUAGAUACCCCCGUAGUC
rnacentral:rRNA from 1 species